GUAGUCAGAUCUUAUACUGGAUUUCAACAAAACGCUUGCACGUCUCAUCAUCUAUUAUUAUUAUAAUAUAUGGAAUACUGAAUUUUGGCAUCAGAGUGAAUGAGCUCACAGAGGCAUGAGCAGAACAAAUGCUACAGUUUCAGACUCACGUUUUCCUUGUGAGUUGUGAUGUUGACUGAUAAAAACCGGAUCCGUUUCAGUUACGAAAGYCCAACUAUCGCGUGAACAAGAGAACAGUAGUUCAAAACAGCGCAAAUAAAUUUCCCUGCACAUGCAAUCACUAUUGUGCUCGCUCACACCAAUGUCAUGCGGCACACCCCAAKCAGCCGUUGUACACACACUGUCAUUUCAUUUUAACUCACGGUCUUUAAAGCAGCCAAUUGAUGGCACUACGACUAUUUGGCACGCUUUGACCAACGCGCAUAGUUGUUGCAUGCCGCUUUGUUUACAUCAGCAUGUGACCGGCCAGCACGUUGCGCCACCAACAAUUUGUUGUGYCGGUAGACACCAUCUAGCGAUUCUGGGUACCUGGUAAAUGACGCGCGCCGAGAUACAACACCUCAAAUGUGCGGCCACGCGACGRCACAGGGUGACCAAUGUGAUUCAAAAUUGAAAAUACAUAAA